rnacentral:rRNA from 1 species
UACGUAGGGUGCGAGCGUUAAUCGGAAUUACUGGGCGUAAAGCGUGCGCAGGCGGUUCUCCAAGUCCGUUGUGAAAGCCCCGGGCUCAACCUGGGAAUGGCAGUGGAAACUAGGGGACUGGAAUCUGGCAGAGGGGGGUGGGAUGCCGCGUGUAGCAGUGAAAUGCGUAGAGAUGCGGCGGAACACCGAUGGCGAAGGCAGCCCCCUGGGCUGAGAUUGACGCUCAGGCACGAAAGCGUGGGGAGCAAACAGG